rnacentral:rRNA from 1 species
CAAUACUGACGCUCAGGUGCGAAAGCGUGGGGAGCAAACAGUUAUUAGAUACCCUGGUAGUCCACGCCGUAAACGAUGUCUACUAGCUGUUCGUGGUCUUGUACUGUGAGUAGCGCAGCUAACGCACUAAGUAGACCGCCUGGGGAGUACGGUCGCAAGAUUAAAACUCAAAUGAAUUGACGGGGGCCCGCACAAGCGGUGGAGCAUGUGGUUUAAUUCGACGCAACGCGAAGAACCUUACCUACUCUUGACAUCUAGCGAAGAUUGCAGAGAUGCAGUUGUGCCUUCGGGAACGCUAAGACAGGUGCUGCAUGGCUGUCGUCAGCUCGUGUUGUGAAAUGUUGGGUUAAGUCCCGCAACGAGCGCAACCCUUAUCCUUAGUUGCCAGCACGUAAUGGUGGGAACUCUAGGGAGACUGCCGGUGAUAAACCGGAGGAAGGUGGGGACGACGUCAAGUCAUCAUGGCCCUUACGAGUAGGGCUACACACGUGCUACAAUGGUACGUACAGAGGGAGGCAAGCUGGCGACAGUGAGCGGAUCUCUUAAAGCGUAUCGUAGUCCCGGAUCGCAGUCUGCAACUCGACUGCGUGAAGUCGGAAUCGCUAGUAAUCGCAAAAUCAGAAUGUUGCGGUGAAUACGUUCCCGGGCCUUGUACACACCGCCCGUCACACCAUGGGAAGUGGGUUGCAAAGAAGUAGGUAGCUUAACCCUUCGGGAGGGCAGCUUACCACUUUGUGAUUCAUGACUGGGGUGAA